UACAGAGGGGGCAAGCGUUGUUCGGAAUUACUGGGCGUAAAGGGCGCGUAGGCGGCCCGCUACGUCGAACGUGAAAUCCCCGAGCUCAACUCGGGAACUGCGUCCGAUACUGGCGGGCUUGAAUCCGGGAGAGGGAUGCGGAAUUCCAGGUGUAGCGGUGAAAUGCGUAGAUAUCUGGAGGAACACCGGUGGCGAAGGCGGCAUCCUGGACCGGCAUUGACGCUGAGGCGCGAAAGCUAGGGGAGCAAACAGG
rnacentral:rRNA from 1 species